GAUGAACGCUGGCGGCGUGCCUAAUACAUGCAAGUCGAGCGAACAGACGGGGAGCUUGCUCCUCUGACGUUAGCGGCGGACGGGUGAGUAACACGUGGAUAACCUACCUAUAAGACUGGGAUAACUUCGGGAAACCGGAGCUAAUACCGGAUAAUAUAUUGAACCGCAUGGUUCAAUAGUGAAAGACGGUUUUGCUGUCACUUAUAGAUGGAUCCGCGCCGCAUUAGCUAGUUGGUAAGGUAACGGCUUACCAAGGCAACGAUGCGUAGCCGACCUGAGAGGGUGAUCGGCCACACUGGAACUGAGACACGGUCCAGACUCCUACGGGAGGCAGCAGUAGGGAAUCUUCCGCAAUAGGCGAAAGCCUGACGGAGCAACGCCGCGUGAGUGAUGAAGAUCUUCGGAUCGUAAAACUCUGUUAUUAGGGAAGAACAAAUGUGUAAGUAGCUAUGCACGUCUUGACGGUACCUAAUCAGAAAGCCACGGCUAACUACGUG
rnacentral:rRNA from 1 species